rnacentral:lncRNA from 1 species
AUGAACAAAACCGUUUUAAAUAUGGCAUAGCAUACUUAUUUACUCACAAUCAAUAAUUAAAGAAGUUUCAGGAAAUCUGCAAGCAAACUAAGCCUCAGACCUCUUCCAUAACAUAUGCUAUUAUUUUAUAGAUUUUCAGAAGUAGCAAUCUUCACCUGAAAAACUUCCAAGUUUAUUCAUGCAGAGAUUUUGGAAUUGACAUCUUGGAAAGUGAUGCAAAUACUUCAGUUACUGACAGCUUAUUACUUGGUCAUUUUUCCCAUGAGUUACAGGAAAGAUUAUGUAUGUCAGCUGGGAUUAAGACUCCCAAAAGAUGGGAAUUGAUGAUUUCUAACACAACUUUUGUUAAUUUUGAUCUCAUGGACUGUGUGGCCAUCAGAACCUGUUCGGGCUGUUCCCAAGGACAGGGUAAGUUUGAAUAGACAGGACAGAUGGUAAAUAAGGUCAGUGCUCAAGUGAAUAUGAUAGAGUCUUUGUGAGACAAUAUUUCUUUUAGUUACAAGAUUGUAUCUAAGAAGCUAUAGUUCAGAUUUCCUGAACAAAUCCUAG